rnacentral:lncRNA from 1 species
CUCAACCGUUUUCUUCGUAUUUUAUAUCAAUUUGAAGCCCUCAACAUGUAGAAUCACAUUGGACUAAUUUAAGGCUCUAAAAACAACUAAAUCUCACUGGAAAAAUUCCAAGAAAAACCGGCCAACUUUGAACUCAGUGAUCCUGAUGUCCAAAACCUUCAAACUAAGCACUCCGAGCUUCCUUAGGACCUCACUAAGCUCACUAUAAGCUCAAAAUUCCUUGAAAUUCAACAAUUCACAUGUGUAUGAAUAGUGAUUUCAAGAUGGGUUUCGGAUUUCACGUGAUAUCGAGGGUUCCAAGUUCUAAAAAUUAUACCAAUGAACUCACAAGCUUGCAAGGAUUCACAAACUUACCUUUUUGACGUCGAUCCGUGAAGGUUGGAGGGUUUUUGAUCUUGGUCCGUACAAGUCGAGAGGGAGAGAGAACAGAGAAAAGAAGAGAGAGCACGGGGGAAAAAGGGAAGGGGUCCAGUACGUGUAACCGGUGCGUGUGUGUGGUCCCUAAAAAACAGAUCACUUCAUCCCUAACCACACAAAACAUGCAUACCAACUUAAAUAAUUCUCCAAAAGUUUAUGGAAUAUGUGUAUUAGUCCAAAUAAUAUGUCACACACACACACACCUUAGUACCCGUCAAGGGUAAUUCCGUCAUUUCACGUCUUCGAGAAAUAAAAUCCCGGGACGGGCUGUGACAAUCUCCUCUCCUUAUAGAAUUUCGUCCCCGAAAUUCCUACGACCAAACGAUCCGCUUAAUACCUAUAGAAUAACCUUGGAUACAUCUCUCUCAUUCGAUCUUCUGUUUCCCAAGUAGCUUCUUCUAUUGAAUGGUUCCUUCACAAUAUUUUCACCAAGCUCACUGUCUUAUUCCUUAGAACCUUGUCUUUCCAAUCCAAGAUAGUCACUGGUUCCUCAUCAUACGUCAAAUCCGGAUUAAUCUCCAAAGGUUGAGGAGGAAUCACAUGUGAAGGAUUUGAGACAUAAUGUCGAAGCAUCGAGACAUAAAACACAUUAUGUACCUUAGAUAACUCCGGAGGCAACUCCAACCUGUAAGCAACUUCACCGACCCUCUCAGUGAUCUCAUAAGGUCAUAUGUACCUAGGACUUAAUUUGCCUUUCUUUCCAAACCUCACUACACCUCUCCAAGGUGACAAUUUCAAGAAUACCAAAUUACCCACAUCAUAAACUCGAUCAGUAACAUGUCUAUAUGCUAAACUCUUUUGUCGAUCCUGGGCCACUUUCAGGUUAGACUUAAUCACCUGAAUAUUUUGAGUAGUCUCAUCCACAAUCUCUGGGCCUUCUAACACUCUUUCACCAACCUCUAACCAACACAAUGGCGUACGACACACUCUACCAUAAAGUGCCUCAAAUGGUGACAUACCAAUGCUCGAAUGAAAACUAUUAUUAUAGGCAAAUUCCAUCAAGUCUAGGCGGUCAUGCCAAGAAUCACCAAACUGUAAUACGGAAGAUCUCAACAUAUCCUCCAACGUCUGAAUAGUCCUCUCUGAUUGUCCAUCGGUUUGAGGAUGAUAAGCAGUGCUGUAAAGCAAUUUCGUACCAAGAGCUUCUUGAAAAGCUACCCAAAACUUAGAAGUAAAUCUUGGAUCUCGAUUAGAAAUAAUAUUCACUGGAACACCAUGAUACUUCACAAUCUUCGUGAUGAACAACUUAGCCAAUUUAUUUAGAGGAUACUUUUCCCUCACUGGAAUGAAGUGCGCUGACUUGGUAAGUCGAUCUACAAUCACCCAAACACCAUCAAAUCCAUUUCGUGUACGAGGGAGCUUAUACACGAAAUCCAUAGUUAUAUUUUCCCAUUUCCACUGAGGAACAAGAAGUGGUUGCAUUCGCCCAAAAGGCUUCUUUCUUUCAACUUUAACUUGUUGACAAACAAUACACAUACUUACAUAUUCUGCAAUUUCCCUUUUCAUACCCAGCCAAUAAUAAAAUGGUCGAAUAUUAUGAUACAUCUUAGUUCCUCCUGGAUGCAUCGCAUAAGCUGAACAAUGUGUUUCGUCCAAAAUUUCUUUCUUUAAUUCCUCAUUAUUCGGCACAUACAUUCUGUUCUCCUGCAUAAGCAUGCCAUCUGAUUCUCGAAUCCUGAGGUCUUUCUUUUUCCCUUCAUUUCUCAAUUGAAUCAUUUCUUGAAUUUCUUCAUCAACCAUUUGAGCUUCAAGUACACGAUUAACCAAAACUGGCCUGACUUGGAAACUAGCAAGAAAAGCUUCUUUUUGACCUUCUAACUCCAACUUUACUCCAGGAGCUCUUAGUUCUGCAAGAAGAGGAUCACGACAAGCAUACAAAGCAUUGAGGCGACCAUGAGGUUUUCUACUCAGUGCGUUAGCUACUACAUUAGCAUGACCCGGAUGAUACUCAAUAGUGCAGUCAUAAUCACUUAGCAAUUCCAUCCACCUUCACUGACGAAGAUUAAGAUCAUGCUGAGUAAAAAGAUACUGAAGACUCUUAUGAUCAGUGAAGAUCUUACAUUUCUCACCAUAAAGAUAAUGCCUUCAAAUCUUCAAAGCAAAACAAUGGCUGCCAACUCAAGAUCGUGAGUAGAGUAAUUUGUUUCAUGAAUCUUCAACUGUCGAGAAGCAUAGGCGAUCACUCUAUUAUGCUACAUCAAAACACAUCCCAAACCAUUCAAAGAGGCAUCACUGUAAAUCUCAAAGUUACCACUAUCAUCAGGAAGUACCAAUACUGGAGCAUGAGUGAGACAAUAUUUCAAUUGCUGGAAACUUUGCUCACAAUUCUCAUCCCACUCGAACUUAACAUCCUUCCUAGUUAACUUCGUUAAUGGCAAAGCAAUCAUAGAAAAAUCUUGAACAAACCGUCGAUAAUAACUUGCUAGACCAAGAAAACUUCGUACCUCAGUGACGGUUCGCGGUUGUUCCCAAUUCUCCACUGCUGCUAUCUUUUAGGGUUUACUUGAAUUCCUUGUGCCGAUACUACAUGCCCCAAAAAUGCCACUUCGUUCAACCAAAACUGACAUUUACUAAACUUGGCAUACAACUGAUGUUCCCUCAAUUUCUUUAAUACCAAGUUAAGAUGUCGAAUAUGAUCUACUUUAGACCUAGAGUAUACUAGAAUAUCAUCGAUAAAAAAAAUAACAAAUUUAUCAAGAUAUUGCUGGAAUACCUCAUUCAUUAACCUCAUGAAAGCUGCAGGUGCAUUAGUCAAUCCAAAUGGCAUCACCAGAAAUUCAUAAUGUCCGUAACGGGUCCUGAAAGCCGUCUUAGGUACAUCAUCAUCCUUAAUCUUUAACUGAUAAUAUCCAGAUCUCAAAUCAAUCUUAGAGAACACACAUGCACCUUUGAGCUGAUCAACCAAAUCAUCGAUACGAGGCAAUGGAUAACGGUUUUUAAUUGUCACCCGAUUCAACUGCAUGUAAUCGAUACACAAUCUCAAAGUUCUAUCUUUCUUUCUCACAAAUAAUACUGGAGCUCCCCAAGGUGACGUACUAGGUUGAAUGAAACCUUUAUCAAGUAAUUCUUGUAACUGAAUUUUCAACUCUCGCAGUUCAGCUGGAGCCAUUCUGUACGGAGUUAAAGAUAUAGGAUCUGUACCUGGAAGCAAAUCAAUAGAAAAUUCCACAUCUCUGUCUGGCGGUAAUCACGGCAAAUCAUCGGGAAAUACAUCAGGAUAGUGCCUGACUACUCCAACUUCCUCUACACUGCUAGGAACAACAUCAUUUAAUACCACAUGGGCUAAGUAUCCUUGACAACCCUUUGAUAGUAACUUCUUUGCUCUCAUGGCAGAAAUAACACCAUGUCUCACCCCAUUUCUUUCACCCACAAAAGUAACCUCUGGUAAUCCUGGACGAUAAAAGGUAACAGAUUUCCCGUAACAAUCUAUAUGGGCACGAUUAUAAUGCAACCAAUAUGCCCCUAGAAUCACAUCAAAAUCCACAAUAUCUAACGGGAUAAGAUUAUCUGGCAUAACUACACAUUCUACCAUCACUGGACACCCAGGAUAAACACUAUCAACAUAACAUUUGUCCCCUCUAAGCAUGACAAACUCUAAAUCAAAUCCUAGAAGCGAAGGGUGAGGUUGAGUCAUUUGAGCAAACGUAUGAGAAAUCACAGAAUGUGUUGCACCACAAUCAAUCAAAACUCUAGCAAAAUGACCAAGAAUAUUUAACGUACCCAUGAUGUCUAAAGUUACAACGGCGGCACAAUGGAGCACCAGAACCACCAACACUACCAAAAUCUCUCUGUCUCUGAAAUCUGGGCCUGCCAACAAAUCUUCCACCUCUCAUUGGGCCUGUGACACUAAAUCCUCCAUUGGAAGAACUCGAACUCGCUUCACUUUUCUUGAAAUUCUGCGUCUUACGAGGUCCCUGAGUGGAGAUACCCUUGCCCUUAUCAUCUUUCUUCUGACUAUCAUUCUUGUCCUCAUCAUCCUCACUAUCACUAGGAAGGUUAUCAGAAUUCUCCAUCCGAACCAAAAUCUCGAAAAACUCAUGAUAAUCAUUGCAAGGAAGCGCACUAGCAAAAGUCCGCCAUUUCCUCUUAGUUCCCAGCUUAAAACGGCGAAGCAUCUCUACCUGAUUACCAGCUGUAUCAGGAUCAUAACGAGACAAGUCUGUAAACUUCCUGUAAUACUCAUGCGCCGACAUAUUCUUUUGCUUUAACCGAGUGAACUCCUACUUCUUGCGAUCAAUGUACUCCGGAGGGACAAAUCUUUUCUUAAAAUGUUCCUUGAAUACUUCCCAAUCAGCUGCCAUCUCAGGGGACAUAAACUGAGUUUGAUUUUUCCACCAAGCUGCAAGCUCUUGUCCCAAAAACCAAGUAGUGGUCUCAACCCAUCUAUUAGCAGGAAAAUUCCCUUGACUCUGCAUCACCUGAAAAGUCAUCUCAAUAUGGUCUAGCCAUUUUUCUGCCCCUUCAUGACCUUCAUUACCCAUGAAACGAUCUAAUUUCAGAUUAUACAUAGUUUCCAAGGGUGUCCUCUGCGGAGGAGGAGGAUGGCGGAUUGUAUUCUGAAAGGCCUGGGCCAUCGCUUCCCCUAAUUGAGUUAUAUCAGGGAAAUUAGGUUCAUGAGCACGACAUGACUCCCUACGAGGCGGCAUAAUUCUGACAGAAAACAUCAAAAGAUCAUUAGAGCAUUAACAAUUAGACAGGACUGCAACCUAGGCUCCGAUACCAAACUGACACACCCUGAUCCUAGAAUCAAGGCGUGCUAGCCGUCACGUGAGUGUGACAUAACCAAAAGUGCGGUGCGGAAGCAAAGGAUAUGAGAAAUACGAAGGAAUAAAAACCAACUACUAGCAGUAAUAUCCAACUGGCAUACUAGAGAGAGUUUAAGUGUGCAGUACACAAUUUCAGAGCAUAAAAGAAACUAGGUGCAGUCAAGUAGGACAAUAAUUAAGUUACAACACCCGCAGGUGAGUCCUACAUGCAGGAAGUCUGUCAGAACGUCGAAGAAAACCUCGUGAGCCACCAACUGCUAACUAGAACCUGGAGGGGCGCAAAAACAAAAUUGAGUAGGUCAGUAAAACCAAAGUUUUCCAAAGCAUUUCAUUUAAAACAUCUCUAACCCCUCACUGUAAAACCUGUAUACUUUCCUAGAAAAUAAUAUAAUAGUAUAUAAAACCCCAUACGUCACAAAUCACCAAUCCAUCACAAAUCCAGGAACAUGCCAUGCCAUAAAUGUCAAUAACAAAACAUGGAUGCAUCAAAAUAGCAGGUGACAUAAUGAAUCAACCGGAGACCCUGCAGUUGGUCCUGUACGGUUAAUUCCAUAGCUCAAUAUCCAACCCAGCCGGAGUCACCACGAUGACCUGUACGGCACUACUUUGCACAUAAGUCGGAACUACCUGAAGUAGUCUGUACGACAAGAAUGGUGUAAUAAUACGCCCUAGUGCUUCUCACAUCAAUCAUCUGCGUGCGUAAUCUAAGGUCACCUACUAGUCGGAACCACCUCUAGUGGUCUGUACGACUAGCAUGUUGGAACCCUCACAUGGCCUGUACGAUAUGCACCUACUUGGAUCCAAGGUGAGCGUGCGGUGCGGUGAAUAAUAUAAGCACUAACACCAUGGGUGCAGGUUAUGAGCUCUCAACACAAUUCACAUCAUUAAUGAUUCACAUGAUUAACAUAAAACUCACCUGAUACUCACCUGUGCGUCCACAACACCAAUUCACAUAUACAUAUGCAUCAAUAUCAAUUCAUAUAAUUCAUAAUAUGCAUGCAUGGCGUUUGAAAACAUACUUUCAUAUAAAUUCAAUUUCUGGGAAAAUCAAUAAUAUAUAGGUAUAUACGGAAAACAAAACUGCCCACUCACUGGUAAGUCGAUGGGUCGUAACCCCCAUGACGUCCCUGGAUGCGCUCGUCCUCGGGAUAUGUGUCACCUAUAUGCGAAACAACUAUAAAAAUGUUAAUUUCAUGCACAUAACCAACAAUUCGAAAUAACUUCUCAUAUAGUGCUCAAUUUGGGUAUAUGAAUAUACCACAUCGACCUACUCGACAUCACGGACGUCGAGAAAUUUUUAGAAAUUUUUUUUGAAGCGGCACGCGCCUCCACACGCCUGGACAAGCACGGGUUCACGCGCCCCCACGCGCGUCUUCUUCCUCGAGCUUGCCGGACUGAGUUUUCCGGUGGCUGGAAAACUGGAGAUUUUUCAAUCUCCUUAUUCUCCGUCGUUUCUCAACCGUUUUCUUCGUAUUUUAUAUCAAUUUGAAGCCCUCAACAUGUAGAAUCACAUUGGACUAAUUUAAGGCUCUAAAAACAACUAAAUCUCACUGGAAAAAUUCCAAGAAAAACCGGCCAACUUUGAACUCAGUGAUCCCGACGUCCAAAACCUUCAAACUAAGCACUCCGAGAUUCCUUAGGACCUCACUAAGCUCACUAUAAGCUCAAAAUUCCCUGAAAUUCAACAAUUCACGUGUGCAUGAACAGUGAUUUCAAGAUGGGUUUCGGAUUUCACGUGAUAUCGAGGGUUCCAAGUUCUAAAAAUUAUACCAAUGAACUCACAAGCUUGCAAGGAUUCACAAACUUACCUUUUUUACGUCGAUCCGUGAAGGUUGGAGGGUUUUUGAUCUUAGUCCAUACAAGU